UACGAAGGGGGCUAGCGUUGCUCGGAAUCACUGGGCGUAAAGGGUGCGUAGGCGGGUCUUAAGUCAGGGGUGAAAUCCUGGAGCUCAACUCCAGAACUGCCUUUGAUACUGAGGAUCUUGAGUUCGGGAGAGGUGAGUGGAACUGCGAGUGUAGAGGUGAAAUUCGUAGAUAUUCGCAAGAACACCAGUGGCGAAGGCGGCUCACUGGCCCGAGUACUGACGCUGAGGCACGAAAGCGUGGGGAG
rnacentral:rRNA from 1 species